rnacentral:rRNA from 1 species
GGCAUCUAAGCGUGAAGCCCCCCUCAAGAUGAGACAUCACAAGACCCCUUGAAGACCACGAGGUGGAUAGGCGCGAGGUGGAAGUACGGUAACGUAUGGAGCUGACGCGUACUAAUAGGUCGGUUGCUUAUCCUC